ACUCCAGCUACUUCAGUAGGCUAUGGAGAAGAUCGGAAUAGACGAGGGGGCUGCGAAUGGCUGGAGAGUUCUCACGUUGGUGAAAGAGGAGAAACCGAAGGCUUCGUUCGCUCGGCAUUUAACUACGUGCUUUCAGACGGCGCCGAAUGGCAAAUCUGCGACCGGAUUUUAACUUGAGUUAAGCAGGAUACCGGCAGGGGUUCGGGAUGGGCUCAAGCACAGGUUUGACAUUGUUGGAUUGAACGUAUGGUGUUGGAAAUCAUGUAUCAAGGUUUGGGCGCCGCUCCCUGGCAAGGCUGCUGCAUUGAGUCUCAAGCGCCGCAGCACUUCCGCUCUUGAUUUUUCUCCAAGAAAUUUAUGCAGCGUCAGGGCGUUGAAGGGAAAAAAAUUUGUUACACGGAUCUCAGAAAACAUCCUUCUAAGCAGAACUUGUCUCCUGAUUAAGCCACUUCAAAGUCUUUGUUAAAGGCAUAUAUAGGGGUGCAAAAGCUGCUUUUUCAGCACUUCUUGAAUCU